rnacentral:lncRNA from 1 species
AUAAAGACACAAAUUUGAUAACGGAGUUCGGCCAAUUAUGCCUACGUCUCCGGAGCUGCUGCAGAUCUAUUUAACAAAGGGAGAAAAAUAUACAGUGUUUACAACACUCACAACACUCAACUCACAACCCGUUAUACCCCGAGAAAAUUACUAUCUAAUUUUCUCACACCAAAAGCUUCUAACUAAGCUUUUGUCUCAAACCCUCAAACUCUCGUAUUUGAGAUUUUCCUUCAACUCACUCUUGCU